rnacentral:rRNA from 1 species
CGCAUCUGUGCAUGCAGCAUAUCAAUAAGCGGAGGAAAAGAAACUAACAAGGAUUCCCUUAGUAACGGCGAGUGAAGCGGGAAGAGCUCAAAUUUGAAAUCUUCAAGGUUUUACCUUGACGAAUUGUAGUUUAAAGAAGUGUUUUCUGUUGAAGUUUUGGUAAAAGUUCUUUGGAAUAGGACAUCAUAGAGGGUGAGAAUCCCGUAUUUGACCAUUAUUUUCAGCUGUGUGAUACACUUUCAAAGAGUCGGAUUGUUUGGGAAUGCAGUCCAAAAUGGGUGGUAAAUUUCAUCUAAAGCUAAAUAUUGGCGAGAGACCGAUAGCGAACAAGUACCGUGAGGGAAAGAUGAAAAGAACUUUGAAAAGAGAGUUAAACAGUACGUGAAAUUGUCAAAAGGGAAGCGUUUGACACCAGUGUUGUUUUCUCGAAAAUCAAUUAAAAAGAGUUUGAUUUUGUUGUGUAUUGACCUUAACAGCUUGCAUUUCAAUCUUUCUUCAGCUUUUUUUAAUGCACUUUUCGUUUAACAAGUCAACAUCAGUUUCUUUUGUUGUAAAAAGGUCAUUGGAAGGUGGCUUUCUUUUCGGAGAAAGUGUUUAUAGCCUUUGACUCCUGCAAUCGGAGAGACUGAGGUCUGCAGCGUAGAUCCCUCGGGGUUAGAUACAUUUGUGCUAAGUUAUAGCUUUUUAUAGACAACUUGUUGACUAUGAUUAGUCUUGUAGCUUACUCGCUUAUGCUAUUUUACCUACGCUUAGGAUGUUGACGCGCGUGUGUGCGUG